UGGGGAAUAUUGGACAAUGGACCAAGAGUCUGAUCCAGCAAUUCUGUGUGCACGAUGAAGUUUUUCGGAAUGUAAAGUGCUUUCAGUUGGGAAGAAAAAAAUGACGGUACCAACAGAAGAAGUGACGGCUAAAUACGUGCCAGCAGCCGCGGUAAUACGUAUGUCACGAGCGUUAUCCGGAUUUAUUGGGCGUAAAGCGCGUCUAGGUGGUUAUGUAAGUCUGAUGUGAAAAUGCAGGGCUCAACUCUGUAUUGCGUUGGAAACUGUAUAACUAGAGUACUGGAGAGGUAAGCGGAACUACAAGUGUAGAGGUGAAAUUCGUAGAUAUUUGUAGGAAUGCCGAUGGGGAAGCCAGCUUACUGGACAGAUACUGACGCUGAAGUGCGAAAGCGUGGGUAGCAAACAGGAUUAGAUACCCUGGUAGUCCAUGCCGUAACGAUGAUUACUAGGUGUUGGGGGUCGAACNNNNNNNCNNANNNAACCCGCCGGGGGAGUACGUACGCAGUU
rnacentral:rRNA from 1 species